rnacentral:rRNA from 1 species
AUUGAACGCUGGCGGCAGGCCUAACACAUGCAAGUCGAACGGCAGCUGGGGGUAGCUUGCUACCCCGCCGGCGAGUGGCGGACGGGUGCGUAAUGCCUGGGGAGCUGCCUGUUAGUGGGGGAUAGCUCGGGGAAACUCGAAUUAAUACCGCAUACGUCCUACGUGAGCAGGGUGGCGCAAGCUAUCGCUAAAACAUGAGCCUAAAUCAGAUUAGCUAGUGGGUGGGGGAACGGCCAACCAAGGCGACGAUCUGUAACUGGUCUGAGAGGAUGAUCAGUCACACCGGAACUGAGACAAGGUCCGGACUCCUACGGGAGGCAGCAGUGGGGAAUAUUGGACAAUGGGGGCAACCGUGAUCCAGCCAUGCCGCGUGUGUGAAGAAGGCCUUUUGGUUGUAAAGCACUUUAAGCAGGGAGGAAGAGCAGCUAGUGAUAACCUAGCUGUGGUGACGUUACCUGCAGAAUAAGCACCGGCUAACUCUGUGCCAGCCGCCGCAGUAA